AGGAUCAGCAUGACUGUAGUGUUCCUGGCUUAACCCUGAGAGGUUGCUGUUCCCAGUGACUAUCUAGGCUGAAGCCCAUGUAGGAUUUGAAGAGACUGAUCCAGGCUUUAUGAGUGGCUGCGACCAUGCUGAUGCUGUAUCAUGUCUCAGACGACUGGAUUCCUAAAAACUCCCCAAAUGAAGCAGGUCCAAUUAGUAUGGUGUCACCAAUAUAUGGAUCCAUGCGAUUGAUUAUCUGUGGAGUGUCCGGAUGGUCCAGGACCCUUCAGAUUAUAUUACGAUGGAGAACAGGAAAAUUAACCAAAACCUGGGCAAGACUGCGAAUGUGUGCUACUAUCCAUCCCAGGGAAUUAGGAGAACGCUUAUAUGCUACUGCUCUUCAGAGAACAAUUGAAACACCUAUUCAAGUUAGAGACCUACGUACCCUGCAAACCGACUGCUCCAUUCCCAGUUCUGGAGGCCGGAGUUGGAAAUCAGUUUCACUGGGCACACAUGGAGGUGUUUGAAGGGCUGCCCGUGCCAGAGGCUCUCAGGGAGAAUCCCUUCCUUGUCUGUUCCAGCUCUACCUCCUCCUCUGCUGUGUGAGUAAAACCUCCCUCGGCCUCUUUGAUUAGGAUAAGGUGUAUUUAGUGUCUAGCAGGACAAUCCAGGAAAUUCUUCCCAUCUCAAGAUCCCUAACUUGAUCCCUUCUGCAAAGACCUGCUUUCACUCCCAUCUGCAAACACCAUUUCCGGGUUCCAGGGAUAAGCCCUGACAUCUGUGGGUGGCCGUUAUUCAGUUACCGACAGUGUGGCAUGAUGAAAAUGAAGUGUUAAAACAAGGACUGCAGUAUUGUUUAUUCCAGCAAAUGGUGAGUGGUCCAUCCUUCUCCAAGCCCUUUCUCUUCUUCUUCUCAUGGUCUCUGGCAUCUGGGAGAGUCCACGUGGCCUGGGUUGGGCUAACAGAUACCAGCAGAAGUGAUGCGUACAACUUCCGGCAACCUAGGUGCACUUGUCUCGCCCUCCCUGGGAGCAGAUCCAUCCUCAAACCUGCAGACAAGGAUAAUGCUGUAGUGGGUACUGAGAAAAAAAAAAAAAAAAAAAAGAAGGAACCUAAAGGAAAUGUUGGAGCAGAAAUACAUUUCUAUCUUAUUCAAGCUGGUAUAUUUUGGACUUCUGUUGCUACAACAGUUUCAUCUUUAUCCUAACGAAUACCCAUACAUGUAUUAGUAAAAAUAUAAAGGUGUCCAGGGAAUAAUGUCAGACUGAGGAGAAUGGGGCUUGGGGGAAGACGGGUGGCAAGAGGAUGUGUAAGGAAUACACAGUUGUAUCUGCAAAAUGUUUUCACUCUUAAGUUCAGUGGCAAACUAACGGAUGUUCUUUAUAUUAUUCUCUAUGCUUUUUUCAAUAUCUGAUUUAUUUUGCUUUAAAAAUCUAUACUAAUAGUGGAUGAGAAAAUAAAUGUCAUAGAAGGGG
rnacentral:lncRNA from 1 species